UCUUGUGUUCAGCUUCCUGGAGUCCGAAAGCGCAUAUGCGCAGGCGCAGCAGUUGGAGUAAAGAGAAGCGGGGGUAGCUAAAUGGGAGGAGUGCGUGUUGUGCGGAGGGAGAGUGUGGUUUGUGUCUUUGAUGUAAUAGUGAUGACAGGGUAGAAGGUGCCCUUGCAGUCACGUCUGGGUAGGUUCUUGAAACAGAGGUAUAUUUUAGAAAAAGCUUUGCUAAGACGUGGAGCUUGUUGGUGAGGAACAAGUACAUCGUAGACGUAUGAGCAACAGGCGAGAAGGACAGGCAUACUGUACUUGUCCCACUCUGUAAUAUCACACCACAAGAGCAUUUGUAAAGCUAACUGCGGGUGCGAUCAGAAAUGUGUGUUCUUGAAGACUGUACAGAGUGCGGCUGGAGGUAGCAUCAGAGACACCUGUGUCAUUAAUGGGGCAUCCUAGGACUGUGCUGCCUGCCCAAGGCCACACAUAUUAGUUCUUCUGAGUAAGAGGUAAGAAAGUGAAUUUCCAACUUUUGGCUCUGCAACCAACUCAUCGAUAGUUUAUAUGUUAUAUUUUAUUUCCAUAGUCUUUGAUACAGACCACUGUGACUCCACCUUUUGAUUGUACUGCAACAUGGAGCUGCAGAAGUCAAUAGUAUUCAUGCCCACUUUCAGUGUUUACAUUCUGAAUCCAGCCUGUAGUAGUUUAUGAUUGUUGCCCUGACAAUAAGACUGUGACUGAAAUUCUAACAUAAUCACUGGGAAGCAAUGUCUAUUGAUCUCAGUGGGCUUUGAUGUUGAAUAUACAGUAUAAGAAAACUUUUCUUCAUAGUGGGAGUGACUUGACAACGGAUACAGUGUUAUAAAUUUCUGGAAAAUUUAGGAUUUGUGAACUGUCUUCAUUCUAAUGGUCUAGCCACUGACCUACUCUCACCUUCAGUUUCAGGAAUAACAAGUGUAAUAUUUAAGAACAUUUUUUGUGGGGAAAAAUACCAACAUAAAUGAUAUGGAUGAGUAAUUCAUUCCAACUAUUUGUGUGUUAAUAUCUGAGGACUGCAGUAGGGUUCAUGUAAUGUAAACUUUAUCCAUAUAUAAUGGUCUUUUACACAUAAAAUAUUAUGUAUGCAUGUGACAUUUCCUCAUAAAUUGCGAUUACAACUGCUGAAUCUUGUUUGCCAUCAAAAAGACACAUGUAGUGGAUGUCACAGAACUAGGUUGUUCUAGCCAUUGUAAAUUUUGUGUUCAUGUUUUUAUUGUAAGUUAUUUUUUUCCAGGGACAGUUCUCUUAACUGAAUGAUAUCCA